GAUGAAGAACGCAGCGAAAUGCGAUAAGUAGUGUGAAUUGCAGAAUUCAGUGAAUCAUCGAAUCUUUGAACGCACAUUGCGCCCCUUGGUAUCCCGAGGGGCAUGCCUGUUCGAGCGUCAUUUCACCACUCAAGCCUGGCUUGGUGUUGGGCGACGUCCCCUUUGGGGACGCGCCUCGAAACGCUCGGCGGCGUGGCACCGGCUUUAAGCGUAGCAGAAUCUUUCGCUUUGGAAGUCGGGGCCCCGUCUGCCGGAAGACCUACUCGCAAGGUUGACCUCGGAUCAGGCAGGGAUACCCGCUGAACUUAAGCAUAUCAAUAAGCGAGGA
rnacentral:misc_RNA from 1 species